UCCUAUGGCGGGCCGGGUGGGGAGACCGCAAGGUCUGCCGGUUGCCGUGAGUACCGGUUCGCCAGCCCCGCCGUCAGGCCCGCCACCU
rnacentral:antisense_RNA from 1 species